rfam:Stachybotrys chlorohalonata IBT 40285 unplaced genomic scaffold scaffold1541, whole genome shotgun sequence.
CAACAUGAUGAAACCCAGAUAGGGACAGCUUAUACCACGGUAUCUGAUGAGAACCCUGGGCGAUUAUUUUAGUAGAUGCUUCGACUUUCUGAAC